rnacentral:rRNA from 1 species
CCUACGGGAGGCAGCAGUGGGGGAUAUUGCACAAUGGGGGAAACCCUGAUGCAGCGACGCCGCGUGGGCGAAGAAGUAUUUCGGUAUGUAAAGCCCUAUCAGCAGGGAAGAAGAAAUGACGGUACCUGAGUAAGAAGCACCGGCUAAAUACGUGCCAGCAGCCGCGGUAAUACGUAUGGUGCAAGCGUUAUCCGGAUUUACGGGGUGUAAAGGGGGCGCAGGCGGAACGGCAAGCCUCAGGUGAAGGCCCGCGGCCCAACGGGGGGCCUGCAUUGGGUACUGCCGGGCUGGAGUGCGGGUGAGGUAGGCGGAAUGUGUAGUGUAGCGGUGAAAUGCGUAGAUAUUAGGAGGAACACCAGUGGCGAAGGCGGCCUACUGGACCGUGACUGACGCUGAGGCUCGAAAGCGUGGGGAGCAAACAGGAUUAGAUACCCUGGUAGUC